GAGUGAUAGCGGUCGAUUUCCUGUGGUCCCCUAGAAUUGUCCAAAACAAACACGUGGGUCACCGCCGGGAACAUUCGGAACAUGGCUCGCUGAUUCACGCGGACGACAAACCGCGACCGCCACCCCCAUCGAACGAGGGACACGGACUGAGCGAGGAUGGACCACAUCUGCAGUGCACGACGACUUGUCCAGCGGCUGGACCGAGUCCCAAAUCAUACAGCCCAGUUGUCUGCUGAUGAACCAUAGGCUCCAAGCACCCAUGUGAGCAGGGUUCAGGGGCCUGCUCAAUCCGCGGCUCCGGCUGGAGCACGCCGCCUACCACGUACACGCCGGUGAUGCACCCCGCCGUCUUCUUCAUCGAAUGCUGGGUGUCCCGAAAAGCCCCUCUCUGUACCAGUGUGAACGGCGCCCUCCUUGUCACCUUCUGAUGCGCUCCACGACCAACACCACCACCACGUGACGUUUUUGUUGUUGGACGUGACGCGUUGAGCACCACGUGCCGUAGCACGUGGCUUUUGCUGAUUGUCUUUGGUCAUUUGUUGCUGGC